rnacentral:rRNA from 1 species
CCUACGGGGGGCAGCAGUGGGGAAUAUUGCACAAUGGGGGAAACCCUGAUGCAGCGACGCCGCGUGAGUGAAGAAGUAUUUCGGUAUGUAAAGCUCUAUCAGCAGGGAAGAAAAUGACGGUACCUGACCAAGAAGCCCCGGCUAACUACGUGCCAGCAGCCGCGGUAAUACGUAGGGGGCAAGCGUUAUCCGGAUUUACUGGGUGUAAAGGGAGCGUAGACGGUUGUGCAAGUCAGAAGUGAAAGCCCGGGGCUCAACUCCGGGACUGCUUUUGAAACUGUGAAACUGGAGUGCAGGAGAGGUAAGCGUAAUUCCUGGUGUAGCGGUGAAAUGCGUAGAUAUCAGGCUGAACACCAGUGGCGAAGGCGGCUUACUGGACUGUAACUGACGUUGAGGCUCGAAAGCGUGGGGAGCAAACAGGAUUAGAUACCCGAGUAGUC